CAGGUCCCCUCUGAGAAUGGUGGGCUGGGUGGGGGCUUGGGAAUAUUUGCUGCUUGUAGUGAGUGGGUCAGCCCGACCUCAUCUCCCCUAGCUGGGUCAGGGGAGGAAGGGAGUCCUUCCUGGCUUGCAGAAAGGGGAUCUAGACUCAUGGAGGGAAAGUGCCUUUUCUAUCUUGUGUGAGAGAAUUGCGGAGGAGGAAAAGGGGAGAUUAGUGCUAGUGCUACUGAACAAACAUGAAUCCCCUGCUAACUAACGGGAAAAAAGCCCUGCAUUCACAUUCUUGCAGACAGAAACAGUAUGCUUAGACACAGACCCCAACCCAGGGGCUUUCCUUGUUACGUUCCAAUACUGCAAGUUGAUCAUUGAAGGUCUGUGUGGCUGCAGGAUCAUGGGCGAAAAAUAGAGGGCCGAAUUCUGAUGCUCUUACUUCUUGGACAGUCUUGUUGAAACAAACAGGGCUACUUGCACGACUGGAAGAGGAAAACAAGCUUUCCUGGGUUUUCACCUCCGAAUCAGCCUCUCAUCUUUGAAUGAACUAAUCAUUGAACUGAACUAGUUGAAUAAAUUGAAAUGAAGAAAAUAUUCUGUCUGCACCUGCAGAAGAGGCUACUGCUGUCAAAAAAUUGGUUUAGUAUGUCAACAAACUCUGCUUCCAGGGGUUUAGCUAGUUACUUCCACCAGCUCAGUGCUUUGGUAGC